CCAACAGAGACGGGCACCGUGACGCAUUCUGCAAAAACGUUUCUGCAGCAUUACACGACAAGCAGUUUGAUGGCCGCAUGAAUUUGGUAGGGCUAAAUCUGAAUCUUCCUUGACCUUUCGGUUGCCAUAUGGGAGCUAUUAGGAAAGAAUUUCAGGGAGGGGAAAUGGCUUCCCGGUGUCCUGUCCUGGCAUUCAACCUCCUCCGCUCUGCUGCACGCCACAG
rnacentral:lncRNA from 1 species